rnacentral:rRNA from 1 species
AUACGGAGGGUCCGAGCGUUAUCCGGAAUCAUUGGGUUUAAAGGGUCCGUAGGCGGUAAUCUAAGUCAGUGGUGAAAUCUUGCAGCUCAACUGUAAAAUUGCCAUUGAUACUGGAUUUCUUGAAUUAGCGUGAAGUGGUUAGAAUGUGUAGUGUAGCGGUGAAAUGCAUAGAUAUUACACAGAAUACCAAUUGCGAAGGCAGAUCACUAACACUAUAUUGACGCUGAGGGACGAAAGCGUGGGGAGCGAACAGGAUUAGAAACCCUAGUAGUCC